rfam:Octopus bimaculoides Scaffold44896_contig_11, whole genome shotgun sequence.
UACUGCUUCGGCAGUACAUGUACAAAAACUGGAAUGAUGCAGUGAAGAUUAGAAUGGCCCCUGCGCAACAAUGUUACACAAAUUGGUGAAACAUUCCAUACUUCU